rnacentral:rRNA from 1 species
UGGGGAAUUUUGCACAAUGGGGGAAACCCUGAUGCAGCGACGCCGCGUGAUUUAGAAGGCCUUCGGGUUGUAAAAAUCUUUUCUAUGGGAAGAAAAUGACAGUACCAUAGGAAUAAGGACCGGCUAAUUACGUGCCAGCAGCCGCGGUAAUACGUAAGGUCCGAGCGUUGUCCGGAAUCAUUGGGAGUAAAGGGUACGUAGGCGGGUAAGCAAGUUAGAAGUGAAAUCCUAUAGCUCAACUAUAGUAAGCUUUUAAAACUGCUCAUCUGGGGGAAUGAAAGGAAAGUGGAAUUCCUAGUGUAGCGGUGAAAUGCGCAGAUAUUAGGAGGAAUACCGGUGGCGAAGGCGACUUUCUGGCCAUAACCUGACGCUGAGGUACGAAAGCGUGGGUAGCAAACAGG